rnacentral:rRNA from 1 species
AUGAACGCUGGCGGCGUGCCUAAUACAUGCCAGUCGAGCGAACGGACGAGAAGCUUGCUUCUCUGAUGUUAGCGGCGGACGGGUGAGUAACACGUGGAUAACCUACCUAUAAGACUGGGAUAACUUCGGGAAACCGGAGCUAAUACCGGAUAAUAUUUUGAACCGCAUGGUUCAAAAGUGAAAGACGGUCUUGCUGUCACUUAUAGAUGGAUCCGCGCUGCAUUAGCUAGUUGGUAAGGUAACGGCUUACCAAGGCAACGAUGCAUAGCCGACCUGAGAGGGUGAUCGGCCACACUGGAACUGAGACACGGUCCAGACUCCUACGGGAGGCAGCAGUAGGGAAUCUUCCGCAAAGGGCGAAAGCCUGACGGAGCAACGCCGCGUGAGUGAUGAAGGUCUUCGGAUCGUAAAACUCUGUUAUUAGGGAAGAACAUAUGUGUAAGUAACUGUGCACAUCUUGACGGUACCUAAUCAGAAAGCCACGGCUAACUACGUG